CGCACUGGCAGCUCAUUCUAACAAGAGCACCCUGUUUGCACCUUACAGACAGUGCAAACAGUAAAUCCUCUUUUGCAACCCAGAACUCAAUGUUGAGUAUGAGAUUUUUUUGGUACAUGUAAGAAGGAAUAUA